rfam:Echinostoma caproni strain Egypt genome assembly, scaffold: ECPE_scaffold0036018
GGCCUCGUAGCUCAGCCCGUAGAGCAUGCGCGUACAAAGCGUAGGCGGUGUCCAUGCGUGGGUUCCAAUCCCAUCGAGGCUA